AGUGAACGCUGGCGGCGUGCUUAACACAUGCAAGUCGAACGGAUGAAAUAAGCUUGCUUAUUUCGUUAGUGGCGCACGGGUGAGUAAUGUAUAGCUAACCUGCCCUUUAGUGGGGGACAACAGUUGGAAACGACUGCUAAUACCCCAUAUUCCUUCUUAUCACAAGGUAAGUUGGGAAAGAUUUAUUGCUAAAGGAUGGGGCUUUAUGGUAUCAGCUAGUUGGUGGGGUAACGGCCUACCAAGGCUAUGACGCCUACCUGGUCUGAGAGGAUGAUCAGGCACACUGGAACUGAGACACGGUCCAGACUCCUACGGGAGGCAGCAGUGGGGAAUUUUGGACAAUGGGCGCAAGCCCGAUCCAGCCAUGCCGCGUGAGUGAAGAAGGCCU
rnacentral:rRNA from 1 species